GCUUGUCUCAAAGAUUAAGCCAUGCAUGUCUUAGUGUAAAUAACUCUUAUGAAACUGCGAAUGGCUCAUUAAAUCAGUUAUCAAAUACGUGAUGGUCGCCUACUACAUGGAUAACCGUAGUAAUUCUAGAGCUAAUACAUGCACAAAGGCCCACUCACGUGGGUUGUGAUUAUUAGAUUCAAACCGGCCUCGUUCUGGUGAUUCAUAAUAACUUUACGAAUCUUUUCUUUUGAAAAGAUGAUUCAUUCAAAUUUCUGCCCUAUCAGCUUUGAUGGUAAGGUAUUGGCUUACCAUGGCAAUAACGGGUGACGGGGAAUUAGGGUUUGAUUCCGGAGAGGGAGCCUGAGAAACGGCUACCACUUCUAAGGAAGGCAGCAGG
rnacentral:rRNA from 1 species